rnacentral:rRNA from 1 species
AGAAUCAACGCUGGCGGCGUGCCUAACACAUGCAAGUCGAACGCGAAAGUCCCGCAAGGGAUGAGUAGAGUGGCAAACGGGUGAGUAACACGUGGGUGACCUGCCUUCGAGUGGGGGGAUAACGUCCCGAAAGGGACGCUAAUACCGCAUAACAUCCUGCUUUUUAAGAGGUGGAGAGCAAAGCCGGGGAUCGCAAGACCUGGCGCUUGAAGAGGGGCCCGCGUCCGAUUAGCUAGUUGGUGGGGUAAUGGCUCACCAAGGCGACGAUCGGUAACCGGCCUGAGAGGAUGAUCAGCCACACUGGGACUGAGACACGGCCCAAGACUCCUACGGGAGGCAGCAGUAGGGAAUAUUGGACAAUGGGCGAAAGCCUGAUCCAGCCAUGCCGCGUGAGUGAUGAAGGCCUUCGGGUUGUAAAGCUCUUUUGGCGGGGACGAUAAUGACGGUACCCGCAGAAUAACGCCCCGGCUAACUCGUGCCAGCAGCCGC